ensembl:miRNA microRNA 194-2
GCGGCCUCUACCCCCUGUAACAGCAACUCCAUGUGGAAGUGCCCACUGAUUCCAGUGGGGCUGCUGUUAUCUGGGGUGGAGGCUGG